UGACCUGUGUGCAGCACAACACAAACACACCACUAAGCAACGUGGAGGGAUUUGUGAAUGUGACAGGAGAACAUGAUUUACAUAAUCCUGAGCAAUAACCCUGACGGUCUCCAGUGUAUAAAACUCUGACUUCUCCGCUGCCCUUUGCUGAUUAUUCACUUGACUGUCCUUUGAGUCCGGAUGCUGCCGCUAUAAUCAAACUUGGAGAAGGAAAGAAAAUUACAAAAAAAAGCUGUUGUGUGUGACAUGUGUGCGUACUAGACAUGUCGGUCUGUAUGUCAGGCAGACGCUUGUUGGCUCUCUGUAGAGAUGGUUUUAAGUUUUAAGUUUGUCGAUAGAGAACGUUAACAAAGAAAAGAAAAGAAAAAAGCGUGGACAUUCUAAAUUCUAGUUUUAAGACCAUAAUGAGAAGAAGACGAAAGCAAUGGUAAUGACUUCAAAAAAAAACUUAUUGCUUAUGUAAGUGUAGCAGGACGACUGCUCUUGGCCCAUUCGCGGUCUUGUCCCUUUAAUGAUCUGCCCUAUAAGAAGGGAUCGGUAGAUCUGCGCUCUCUCUGGCGGCGGGUGCGAACUUUCUGCUUCCGGGUUGCCUGGCUGCAGGUGUUUGCAGACGCUCCGCACUCUUUGGUGUGGCGCAAAAUUGUGUUCCAUAGGGCAGGUGCUGAGGGCCUCACUGGUGAACCCUUUUUGGUGAAGGUGUCCCCUCGUGUGUAGUGUCUUAUUCACUCCCUUUUUGCUUUACCCUUGUGUGUGUUUGAGUGUUAAAGCUUGGAUUGUGUUGCUCCCAUUUUAAGUUUAUACCUUCACCCCUCACUCACCUUGAGCACGAAGGCCCCAGCCCUGGAAACACUAACCUUUUUGACAGAUUUUAAUUGUUUUUAUUGCGGUUGAAAUAAACUUUGUAUUUCUUUUGGAAA